GCAAGAUCAUGACCUGAGCUGAAGUUGAACGCGUAACCAACUGAGCCACCCAGGCGCUCCAAGUGAGGAGAUUUUAAAUAUCAUGUGUAUAGAAGGAGGGGAGCCAAGAGAUGGCCUAUGAUAGAGUUGUAACUAAACGCGGAGAUUUCAAGUGCUUUGUGGCGUGGCUCGUCAUGUUUUUCGAGAAAGAGGGAGGUGAGCAGAAGACAAGGUUGGACGCACCUGGACCGCACGUCAGUGGAAUGUUCUUUUCUCAGGAGGCGCCUGUAGUUGCCCCUGCUAAUUCCAUCAUCCGGGCUGGUUAGGACCGUGGGUGGGAAACUAACCGUCUUCUAGGGUUGAAAUGACACGGAACGCAAGGAUCAGUCAAUGGCUGACUUGGGAGAGAUCAGCCAUGUUCUCAUCUUUGUAUCGGUGCUUUUGCUGAAAAAUAAGUUAACUGAUAUAUAUAUAUAUAUAUAUAUAUUUUUUUUUUUUUUUUCAACUCUUACAUUUAUUGUGGAACCUGGUUUGUUUAUUAAUAGGUAACAUACAACUUAGUUUUUUGUUCUUACUUUUUUGUUUCAUUUUCUGGUGGCCUUUCGCUUCUUGUGUUAAGUUGGAAACCUUGUAUUCUCUCACCAGGGCCCUCCUCCCUUCUCUUCCCAGAGCCCGAUUUCCACCUUCAGCCCCAAUCUCUUUGUGGCUAGAUACUCCCCACACUAAACCUAACUGCCACCUCCUUGUAAAGACCUUUUCAGAACAUUCUGCCUACAGGAGACUCCGCUACUUUCCCUCAGGCCUGUGUUUUCCUUCGUGUCUGAAACACUUUAAUAUAAACUUUGGUCUCCUGUCUUUUGUUUCUCUCCUGCAGCUAGAGUAGAAACUCUGUGAGUACAAAGUCUGUGUCUGUCUGAUUCACAGUUUUGUCCCAAGAGUCUCCCACAGUGCUCAGCUCUUACAGCUCUUACAGCGGGAGCUCAAAAGGUACUUGGUGAACACAUCGAAUAAAGAAAUAUUUUUUAAGCA